UACGUAGGGUGCGAGCGUUAAUCGGAAUUACUGGGCGUAAAGGGCGCGUAGGCGGCCUUCUAAGUCGAACGUGAAAUCCCCGGGCUCAACCCGGGAACUGCGUCCGAUACUGGCAGGCUUGAAUUCGGGAGAGGGAUGCGGAAUUCCAGGUGUAGCGGUGAAAUGCGUAGAUAUCUGGAGGAACACCGGUGGCGAAGGCGGCAUCCUGGACCGAGAUUGACGCUGAGGCGCGAAAGCCAGGGGAGCAAACGGG
rnacentral:rRNA from 1 species